UUCUAAUGGUGCAUCUCGGAAAUACUGCGAUAUCAUAUACUGUAAUGAUCUUUUUUAUGCAUUAACUUUGGAUAAUUCCAUUGAAGUCUGGGAUUUUCAUGCUUCUUUGCCAAUAAAGAAUAGGGAAAUCCACCCUUCAGUCCCAAGAAAAAUAAUGGAAGCUACAGAGUGUUUGAGAAGUCCACAUUGUUGCCAAAGUCACUUGGUGGAAUCAUCUGGCGAUCUUUUGCUGGUGUUAAGGUAUUUGGGGAAAGAAGGCAAACUUUGGGUUUGCCCAUAUCGUACACAGAACUUUCAUGUUUACAGGCUGGAUUCCAAUGAUCCGAAUUGGGUGGAAGUAGACAAUUUGAAGAAUGAGGUACUGUUUCUGGCCGGUAACCACUCAAUGUCACUCUCAGCUCAGGAUUUUUCAGGAUUUGAAAAGAAUUCUAUUUACUUCACAGGCGACAUUUGGAACCAGAUGAA
rnacentral:misc_RNA from 1 species